CCUGCGGAAGGAUCAUUACCAUACUAC
rnacentral:rRNA from 1 species